GAUGAACGCUGGCGGCGUGCUUAACACAUGCAAGUCGAACGGAAAGGCCCAAGCUUGCUUGGGUACUCGAGUGGCGAACGGGUGAGUAACACGUGGGUGAUCUGCCCUGCACUUCGGGAUAAGCCUGGGAAACUGGGUCUAAUACCGGAUAGGACCACAUUUUGGAUGGUGUGGUGGAAAGUUUUUCGGUGUGGGAUGAGCUCGCGGCCUAUCAGCUUGUUGGUGGGGUGAUGGCCUACCAAGGCGUCGACGGGUAGCCGGCCUGAGAGGGUGUACGGCCACAUUGGGACUGAGAUAAGGCCCAGACUCCUACGGGAGGCAGCAGUGGGGAAUAUUGCACAAUGGGCGCAAGCCUGAUGCAGCGACGCCGCGUGGGGGAUGACGGCCUUCGGGUUGUAAACUCCUUUCGCUAGGGACGAAGCGUUAUGUGACGGUACCUGGAGAAGAAGCACCGGCUAACUACGUG
rnacentral:rRNA from 1 species